rnacentral:rRNA from 1 species
CGGACGGGUGAGUAAUGUCUGGGAAACUGCCUGAUGGAGGGGGAUAACUACUGGAAACGGUAGCUAAUACCGCAUAACGUCGCAAGACCAAAGAGGGGGACCUUCGGGCCUCUUGCCAUCGGAUGUGCCCAGAUGGGAUUAGCUAGUAGGUGGGGUAACGGCUCACCUAGGCGACGAUCCCUGCUGGUCUGAGAGGAUGCCAGCCACACUGGAACUGAGACACGGUCCAG